UACGGAGGAUGCGAGCGUUAUCCGGAUUUAUUGGGUUUAAAGGGUGCGUAGGCGGAUGAUUAAGCGUGAGGUGAAAUGCUCCGGCUCAACCGGAGGACUGCCUCGCGAACUGGUUGUCUGGAAUGCCCCUGCCGUGGGAGGAAUGUGUGGUGUAGCGGUGAAAUGCAUAGAGAUCACACAGAACACCGAUUGCGAAGGCAUCUCACGAAGGGGUGAUUGACGCUGAGGCACGAAAGCGUGGGGAUCAAAC
rnacentral:rRNA from 1 species